UACGUAGGGUGCGAGCGUUAAUCGGAAUUACUGGGCGUAAAGCGUGCGCAGGCGGUUAGUUGUGUCGGUGGGGAAAGCCCCGGGCUCAACCUGGGAAUGGCCAUGGAAACUGGCGAACUGGAGUGUGGCAGAGGGGGGUGGAAUUCCACGUGUAGCAGUGAAAUGCGUAGAGAUGUGGAGGAAUACCGAUGGCGAAGGCAGCCCCCUGGGCCAAUACUGACGCUCAUGCACGAAAGCGUGGGGAGCAAACAGG
rnacentral:rRNA from 1 species